UGGGGAAUAUUGCACAAUGGGGGGAAACCCUGAUGCAGCGACGCCGCGUGAAGGAAGAAGUAUCUCGGUAUGUAAACUUCUAUCAGCAGGGAAGACAAUGACGGUACCUGACUAAGAAGCCCCGGCUAACUACGUGCC
rnacentral:rRNA from 1 species